UUGACCUCAAAUCAGGUAGGACUACCCGCUGAACUUAAGCAUAUCAAUAAGCGGAGGAAAAGAAACUAACAAGGAUUCCCUUAGUAACUGCGAGUGAAGAGGGAAAAGCUCAAAUUUAAAAUCUGGCAGUGUCUCACUGUCCGAGUUGUAACCUAGAGAAGUGUAACCUGCGCUG
rnacentral:rRNA from 1 species